rnacentral:rRNA from 1 species
UGUGCGGGGUAAGCCUGUGCACCAUGAGGGAGACAACCCAGAGCUGGGUUAAGGUCCCCAAGUGUGGAUUAAGUGCGAUUUGAAGGUGGUCUCGAGCCCUAGACAGCCGGGAGGUGAGCUUAGAAGCAGCUACCCUCCAAGAAAAGCGUAACAGCUUACCGGCCGAGGUUCGAGGCGCCCAAAAUGAUCGGGGCUCAAAUCCACCACCGAGACCUAGCGACACGUGUUAGAACGUGAUUCCGUAGAUUGGCGCUCCGAUUGGGUGGAAGUAUGGGAUAGAUUUCAUAUGGACCGAUCGGUGACGAAAAUCCUGGCCAUAGUAGCAGCGAUAGUCGGGUGACAAUCCCGACGGCCGAACAGACAAGGGUUCCUCAGCAAUGUUCGUCAACUGAGGGUUAGCCGGCCCUAAGUCUCACCGUAACUCGAAUGAGACAAAUGGGAAACUGGUUAAUAUUCCAGUGCUGUUGUGCAGUAAACGCCGACGCUUUGGGGUCGUCUGAGCCGGGCCUUCGCCCGGUCGAAUCGUCGAAAUCCGUGGAAGCCGUAAUGGCACGAAGCGGACGAAUGUCGAGACAGAGCAAUUCAGACCAACCUAGAGCCCGUGAAAAGGCAAGCACAACAUCCGUACCAAGAUCCGACACAGGUGUCUGUGGCUGAGAACGCCAAGGCCUGUCGGGGACAACCGACGUUAGGGAAUUCGGCAAUUUAGUCCCGUAAGUUCGCGAUAAGGGAUGCCUGCCCCGGAAUGGGGCAGGUCGCAGUGACCUAGACGCUCCGACUGUCUAGUAACAACAUAGGUGACCGCAAAUCCGCAAGGACUCGUACGGUCACUGAAUCCUGCCCAGUGCGGGUAUCUGAACACCUAGUACAAUAGGACGAAGGACCCGUCAACGGCGGGGGUAACUAUGACCCUCUUAAGGUAGCGUAGUACCUUGCCGCUUCAGUAGCGGCUUGCAUGAAUGGAUCAACGAG